AAAUUGAAGAGUUUGAUCAUGGCUCAGAUUGAACGCUGGCGGCAGGCCUAACACAUGCAAGUCGAACGGUAGCACAGAGAGCUUGCUCUCGGGUGACGAGUGGCGGACGGGUGAGUAAUGUCUGGGAAACUGCCUGAUGGAGGGGGAUAACUACUGGAAACGGUAGCUAAUACCGCAUAACGUCGCAAGACCAAAGAGGGGGACCUUCGGGCCUCUUGCCAUCAGAUGUGCCCAGAUGGGAUUAGCUAGUAGGUGGGGUAACGGCUCACCUAGGCGACGAUCCCUAGCUGGUCUGAGAGGAUGACCAGCCACACUGGAACUGAGACACGGUCCAGACUCCUACGGGAGGCAGCAGUGGGGAAUAUUGCACAAUGGGCGCAAGCCUGAUGCAGCCAUGCCGCGUGUAUGAAGAAGGCCUUCGGGUUGUAAAGUACUUUCAGCGGGGAGGAAGGUGUUGCGGUUAAUAACCGCAGCAAUUGACGUUACCCGCAGAAGAAGCACCGGCUAACUCCGUGCCAGCAGCCGCGGUAAUACGGAGGGUGCAAGCGUUAAUCGGAAUUACUGGGCGUAAAGCGCACGCAGGCGGUCUGUCAAGUCGGAUGUGAAAUCCCCGGGCUCAACCUGGGAACUGCAUUCGAAACUGGCAGGCUAGAGUCUUGUAGAGGGGGGUAGAAUUCCAGGUGUAGCGGUGAAAUGCGUAGAGAUCUGGAGGAAUACCGGUGGCGAAGGCGGCCCCCUGGACAAAGACUGACGCUCAGGUGCGAAAGCGUGGGGAGCAAACAGGAUUAGAUACCCUGGUAGUCCACGCCGUAAACGAUGUCGACUUGGAGGUUGUUCCCUUGAGGAGUGGCUUCCGGAGCUAACGCGUUAAGUCGACCGCCUGGGGAGUACGGCCGCAAGGUUAAAACUCAAAUGAAUUGACGGGGGCCCGCACAAGCGGUGGAGCAUGUGGUUUAAUUCGAUGCAACGCGAAGAACCUUACCUACUCUUGACAUCCAGAGAACUUUCCAGAGAUGGAUUGGUGCCUUCGGGAACUCUGAGACAGGUGCUGCAUGGCUGUCGUCAGCUCGUGUUGUGAAAUGUUGGGUUAAGUCCCGCAACGAGCGCAACCCUUAUCCUUUGUUGCCAGCGGUUAGGCCGGGAACUCAAAGGAGACUGCCAGUGAUAAACUGGAGGAAGGUGGGGAUGACGUCAAGUCAUCAUGGCCCUUACGAGUAGGGCUACACACGUGCUACAAUGGCGCAUACAAAGAGAAGCGACCUCGCGAGAGCAAGCGGACCUCAUAAAGUGCGUCGUAGUCCGGAUUGGAGUCUGCAACUCGACUCCAUGAAGUCGGAAUCGCUAGUAAUCGUAGAUCAGAAUGCUACGGUGAAUACGUUCCCGGGCCUUGUACACACCGCCCGUCACACCAUGGGAGUGGGUUGCAAAAGAAGUAGGUAGCUUAACCUUCGGGAGGGCGCUUACCACUUUGUGAUUCAUGACUGGGGUGAAGUCGUAACAAGGUAACCGUAGGGGAACCUGCGGUUGGAUCACCUCCUUACCUUAAAGAA
rnacentral:rRNA from 1 species